rnacentral:rRNA from 1 species
UCCUUCGGGACUAGUGGCGGACGGGUGAGUAACGCGUGGGAACGUGCCCCUUUCUUCGGAAUAGCCUCGGGAAACUGGGAGUAAUACCGGAUAAGCCCUACGGGGGAAAGAUUUAUCGGGAAGGGAUCGGCCCGCGUUGGAUUAGGUAGUUGGUGGGGUAAUGGCCUACCAAGCCGACGAUCCAUAGCUGGUUUGAGAGGAUGAUCAGCCACACUGGGACUGAGACACGGCCCAGACUCCUACGGGAGGCAGCAGUGGGGAAUCUUAGACAAUGGGGGAAACCCUGAUCUAGCCAUGCCGCGUGAUCGAUGAAGGCCUUAGGGUUGUAAAGAUCUUUCAGAUGGGAAGAUAAUGACGGUACCAUCAGAAGAAGCCCCGGCUAACUCCGUGCCAGCAGCCGCGGUAAUACGGAGGGGGCUAGCGUUAUUCGGAAUUACUGGGCGUAAAGCGCACGUAGGCGGAUCAGAAAGUCAGAGGUGAAAUCCCGGGGCUCAACCCCGGAACGGCCUUUGAAACUCCUGGUCUUGAGG